CCACGAAUACGAUUCCUUUUUCGCUUUCGAUUCGCCGCCAGUGCGCCACCUCCACCAUCGCCCGUCACCGCUCGCUGCCGCCCAUCGUCGCCUCGUCGCCUCGUCGCCGCUCGCCACCGCCCAUCAUCGCCUCAUCGUCGCUCGCCAUUGCCCCGCCGCCGCUCGCCGCCACCCAUCAUCGCCUUGUCGCCACGAUCAGUCUCGCGGAUCAGCUGGACUAAAACCCUAAAAGCAGCACUCGUCUGCUCGUCGCGAACGGCUCGCGGAACCAUCAUCGGAGGAUAGAGCCGCUUGGUUCAGGUAAUCCGUCUGAACACGCAUUCGUGGAUUUCAUUUAUGUUGAGCUGUCGUCGUUGAAGAGGGUGUGCAGGUAUAUAGAUGUUCUUGAUCGCGGUCUGCCUCGUGGGUUUAUGACUAGGGAGCGUUUAACUGAAAUGAUAUUUGGGUUUUGCGGGAAUCUGGAUUUGGAACAGAGCAUGGUUUAAGAGCAUUGCUGAUUAGCUAACCUUUGUGCUUAUGUUUUAUGGACAUUGUGUUUCAUGGUCGGUAUAGUAGAAAGAGAAGAUGGGUUUGUUGGGUAGGAGGACAAAAUGAUGCUGCCUACGUUUUGCCCAAUUUUAUUGAGAUAAUCUCGAGGUAGCCUUAGCGAGCAAUGCUUAGAGAUAUUGAGCAGUCUUUCUCGCUUCUGACUUGGCUUCCAUGAGUUUUGGUGUUGGACAACCAUUUGUUAUUUUAAUGAUCUGAACUUUUGUUCAUUUUCUUGAGUGGUAAGUUUGUGCACCUAUGUCUUUAUUAUGUUUUGUGCUCUCUAAAGAAGGUGAGGAUGAAUUUGAUGACUGCUGCUUUUUUCAUUGGUCAGAUUCUUUGAUAGAUGCUAGAGACUUGGGUUUUUCAU
rnacentral:lncRNA from 1 species